rnacentral:tRNA from 1 species
GGAGAGUUGGCCGAGUGGUCGAAGGCGCACGCCUGGAAAGCGUGUAACCGGCAAAACCGGUUCAAGGGUUCGAAUCCCUUACUCUCCG